rnacentral:rRNA from 1 species
AUGAACGCUGGCGGCGUGUCUAAGGCAUGCAAGUCGAACGGAUUCUAGUGGUAGCAAUACUACAAAAAAUUAGUGGCAAACGGGAGCGUAACACACUGGUAACCUACCCCGAAGAUCGGAACAACUUGCCGAAAGGCGAGCUAAUUCCGGAUACGAUCCCGAGAUAUAAGUCUCGGGAUGAAAGCAGCAAUGCACUUCGGGAGGGGCCUAUGGCUCAUCAGCUAGUUGGUAGGGUAACGGCCUACCAAGGCUACGACGAGUAGCGGGUGUGGGAGCACGAUCCGCCUCACAGGGACUGAGACACUGCCCUGACACCUACGGGUGGCUGCAGUCAAGAAUCUUCCCCAAUGGACGAAAGUCUGAGGGAGCGACGCCGCGUGCAGGAAGAAGCUCUUCGGGGCGUAAACUGCUUUUAUUCGGGAACAAGUCAUGAGGGUACCGAAUGAAUAAGUACCUGCUAAACUCGU